GGGGUUGUGGCUCAGUGGUAGAGUGCUCGCUUAGCACGUGUGAGGCGCUGGGUUCAAUCCUCAGCAUCACCU
rfam:Ictidomys tridecemlineatus contig062222, whole genome shotgun sequence.